rnacentral:rRNA from 1 species
AUUGAACGCUGGCGGCAGGCCUAACACAUGCAAGUCGAACGAGUGGCGGACGGGUGAGUAAUGUCUGGGCAACUGCCCGAUGGAGGGGGAUAACUACUGGAAACGGUCGCUAAUACCGCAUACCAUCGGAUUUGCCCAGAUGGGAUUAGCUAGUAGGUGGGGUAAAGGCUCACCUAGGCGACGAUCCCUAGCUGGUCUGAGAGGAUGACGAGCCACACUGGAACUGGGACAGGGUCCAAACUCCAACGGGAGGCAGAAGGGGGGAAUAUUGCACAAUGGGGGCAAGCCGGAUGCAGCCAUGCCGCGUGUAUGAAGAAGGCCUUCGGGUUGUAAAGUACUUUAAGCGGGGAGGCGUUACCCGAAGAAGAAGCACCGGCUAACUCCGUGCCAGCAGCCGCGGUAAUAC